rnacentral:pre_miRNA from 1 species
CAAAGGGGGUUAUGGAGUGGAGCUCCUUGAAGUCCAAUUGAGGAUCUUACUGGGUGGAUUGAGCUGCUUAGCUAUGGAUCCCACAGUUCUACCCAUCAUUAAGUGCUUUUGUGGUAGUCUUGUGGCUUCCAUAUCUGGGGAGCUUCAUUUGCCUUUAUAGUAUUAUCCUUCUUUGGAUUGAAGGGAGCUCUACACCCUUCUCCCCUUUUGU